rnacentral:rRNA from 1 species
UACAGAGGGUGCGAGCGUUAAUCGGAAUUACUGGGCGUAAAGCGUGCGUAGGCGGAUAUUUAAGUCGAAUGUGAAAUCCCUGGGCUUAACCUGGGAACUGCAUCCGAUACUGGGUAUCUGGAGUAUGGUAGAGGAAAGUGGAAUUCCCGGUGUAGCGGUGGAAUGCGUAGAUAUCGGGAGGAACACCAGUGGCGAAGGCGACCACCUGGACUGAUACUGACACUGAGGUGCGAAAGCGUGGGGAGCAAACAGGAUUAGAAACCCCAGUAGU